UACGUAGGGGGCAAGCGUUGUCCGGAUUUAUUGGGCGUAAAGAGCGUAUAGGCGGCCAGACAGGUCAGCUGUGAAAACUCGAGGCUCAACCUCGAGACGUCGGUUGAAACCGUCUGGCUAGAGUCCGGAAGAGGAGAGUGGAAUUCCCGGUGUAGCGGUGAAAUGCGCAGAUAUCGGGAAGAACACCCGUGGCGAAGGCGGCUCUCUGGGACGGUACUGACGCUGAGACGCGAAAGCGUGGGGAGCGAACAGG
rnacentral:rRNA from 1 species